UCGGCCCCGGCUGCCCCAGCCGCUGCCGCUGUCUCGACCCGGACCUGCUGCACCCGCACUGCCCGCCCAAGGCCGGUCGUGCCGGCACGGCGAUUGCCGAAAGUGUGGCAAGAUACUAUCUCCUGUGCAAUUUGGAACAAAGCUCUGAUCAAGGCCAGGAUAUAAGGGCUGAUGAAAUUAUCAGCCCCGUCUGGCAUGAUGGAAUAUCUGAGCGUUCUCUUGUGGCAUUCAUGUGGUGAACGCUUUCGUGUGGGCAGCCUUCGACAGAUUAAGGACACAUAUACCUUGCGUUACCGGUAAGAGCCGUU
rnacentral:lncRNA from 1 species